AGACAGUACAUCUAAAGAAAAUCUAUCCAUUUUGGCGGCAUUUCCUCUUAUUAGAGGAACUUGUUUUAUAAUCGACAUUACACGAUAAAUUUCACUUUAAAAAAAUUUGUAUACCGCCAUUUAUAAGAAUUAAUUAAUAAUUAAUAUUCUAAAUAAUAAAUAAUAAAUUAGGUCAAGGUGCAAUUUAUAUUAAAGAAUAAAUGAGUUACUUUACAUAAAAUUUAUUAAAAAAUAUUUAAAUAUAUUUAAAAAAGAAUUUAAAAGUAAUAAUAUAAUAAUAUUAUAUUAUGAAUAAGAUCAUACAUGUGU
rnacentral:rRNA from 1 species